rnacentral:rRNA from 1 species
GAUGAACGCUAGCGGCAGGCCUAAUACAUGCAAGUCGAACGGUGUCUUCGGACAUAGUGGCGCACGGGUGCGUAACACGUAUGCAACCUACCUUACAUUGGGGGAUAGCCUUUCGAAAGGGAGAUUAAUACCGCAUAAGACAGUAGCUGGGCAUCCAGCAGCUGUUAAAGAUUUAUCGAUGCAAGCUGGCAUGCGUCCAAUUAGCUAGUUGGUGAGGUAACGGCUCACCAAGGCAAUGAUUGGUAGGGGAACUGAGAGGUCAAUCCCCCACACUGGCACUGAGAUAUGGGCCAGACUCCUACGGGAGGCAGCAGUAGGGAAUAUUGGGCAAUGGACGCAAGUCUGACCCAGCCAUGCCGCGUGCAGGAUGAAGGCGUUAUGCGUUGUAAACUGCUUUUAUACAGGAAGAAACGACUCUUGCGAGAGGCAUUGACGGUACUGUAUGAAUAAGCACCGGCUAACUCCGUGCCAGCAGCCGCGGUAAAAC